rnacentral:snRNA from 1 species
GCAAAUCGUUCGUCUGACUUGG